rnacentral:lncRNA from 1 species
CAGAAGUUACCUGCUCAGCAAAUUCUGCCUACCUGCAGAAGACUAUGAAAGCAUUGUUGGUAGAGGAGCAGUAAUUGCAAAGCGGAUGCAUUCCUCUGUCUGGCAUUUCAAGUAAGGUAAUGAGAAAUGAAUAAACUUUAUAUUGUAUGUAGAAUUGUAGAGUGU